GGUCAAGGCUACGAUGGUGCCAGUGCAAUGACUGGAGCUUACGGAGGUGCUCAAAAGCGCAUGUAGUUCUUUUUGAGUUUUAGUUUAGAAAACAAUCUCUUUGCAGAUGUGACAGUUACAGGGAUGGUAAAAACAGCUUAAUUUCCAUAGCAACAUCAGGGAAACUGGGUAGAAGGUAGGAGGGCUUCAAAUACGGCAGUUCAUAUUCAAUUCUCCUUAAUUGCCGGACCCAACACAUUACGGAAAGAGAUUAACUGUAUAGGAAGCUCUGGGGACAGGUCUUCUGGAUACUGGACAGUCAAUAAAUUGGCAGAUGCAAACAGAUGAUGGUAUUUAGCAGACAAAAGUUCUUGAGGGCUUGAACAGAAAAAAAAAGAAAAAAAAGUGGUUAGCAAUUUUCGUUCAUACUGGUGAAACCGGUGUUUGAGUUGUGUGGUUGCAAAGUAGACAGUCCCCAAUCUCUGGAAUAUCUUGGCAUGCCUCAAAAUGUGUUUAACUUGUGUGAAGCGCAAUGGACAUGUAAAGCACAAUGUCUCAGGAAAGACUGUCUGAGUUGGCAACUCAGUAAUAGUAUGGACCUACAGGCCGUGGUGAAAACAUUUGCACACAAAAUAGGAGGACUUCAGGAGACCAGGCAGACUGUCAUCAUAUAGGAAGUAGAAGGGUCUGUCAGAAGGACUGUAGUUGUCGAGGAAGUCACUUGUCUGCGGGGACAAGUGACAUUUGCUACUAUCUCUUCCUGAAACUACACUGACCGUGAAUCCAAACCCUGAAUACAAUGGAGAGACAGUAACUCUGACGUGUUCAGUGGGGUCUGACAGUG